AUUGAACGCUGGCGGCAGGCCUAACACAUGCAAGUCGAGCGGAGCUGCGGACGGGUGAGUAAUUCCUAGGAAUCUGCCUGGUAGUGGGGGAUAACGUCCGUACACGGGCGCUAAUCCCGCAUCCUAUCAGCUGUGCCUUGGUCGGAUUAGCUAGUUGGUAGGGUAAAGGCCUACCAAGGCGACGAUCCGUACCUGGUCUGAGUGGAUGAUCAGUCACACUGGAACUGAGACACGGUCCAGACUCCUACGGGAGGCAGCAGUAGGGAAUAUUGCACAAUGGGCGAAAGCCUGAUCCAGCCAGGCCGCGUGAGUGAAGAAGGUCUUCGGAUUGUAAAGCACUUUAAGUUGGGAGGCGGUACCAACAGAAAAAGCACCGGCUAACUUCGUGCCAGCAGCCGCGGUAAUUC
rnacentral:rRNA from 1 species